CCUACGGGUGGCAGCAGUCGAGAAUCAUUCACAAUGGGGGAAACCCUGAUGGUGCGACGCCGCGUGGGGGAAUGAAGGUCUUCGGAUUGUAAACCCCUGUCAUGUGGGAGCAAAUUAAAAAGAUAGUACCCCAAGAGGAAGAGACGGCUAACUCUGUGCCAGCAGCCGCGGUAAUACAGAGGUCUCAAGCGUUGUUCGGAAUCACUGGGCGUAAAGCGUGCGUAGGCUGUUUCGUAAGUCGUGUGUGAAAGGCGCGGGCUCAACCCGCGGACGGCACAUGAUACUGCGAGACUAGAGUAAUGGAGGGGGAACCGGAAUGCUCGGUGUAGCAGUGAAAUGCGUAGAUAUCGAGAGGAACACUCGUGGCGAAGGCGGGUUCCUGGACAUUAACUGACGCUGAGGCACGAAGGCCAGGGGAGCGAAAGGGAUUAGAUACCCCGGUAGUC
rnacentral:rRNA from 1 species